rnacentral:rRNA from 1 species
GAUGAACGCUGGCGGCGUGCUUAACACAUGCAAGUCGAACGGAAAGGCUCCUGCUUGCAGGGGUACUCGAGUGGCGAACGGGUGAGUAACACGUGGGUGAUCUGCCCUGCACUUCGGGAUAAGCCUGGGCAACUGGGUCUAAUACCGGAUAGGACGAUGGUUUGGAUGCCAUUGUGGAAAGUUUUUUCGGUGUGGGCUGAGCUCGCGGCCUAUCAGCUUGUUGGUGGGGUAAUGGCAUACCAAGGCGUCGACGGGUAGCCGGCCUGAGAGGGUGUACGGCCACAUUGGGACUGAGAUACGGCCCAGACUCCUACGGGAGGCAGCAGUGGGGAAUAUUGCACAAUGGGCGCAAGCCUGAUGCAGCGACGCCGCGUGGGGGAUGACGGCCUUCGGGUUGUAAACUCCUUUCGCUAGGGACGAAGCGCAAGUGACGGUACCUGGAGAAGAAGCACCGGCUAACUACGUG